rnacentral:rRNA from 1 species
UACGUAGGGCGCAAGCGUUGUCCGGAAUUAUUGGGCGUAAAGAGCUCGUAGGCGGUCUGUCGCGUCCGUUGUGAAAACUCGAGGCUCAACCUCGGGCUUGCAGUGGAUACGGGCAGACUAGAGUGCGGUAGGGGAGACUGGAAUUCCUGGUGUAGCGGUGAAAUGCGUAGAUAUCAAAGAGGAACACCUGAGGUGAAGACGGGUUGCUGGGCCGACACUGACGCUGACAGCGCGAAAGCCAGGGGAGCAAACGGG